rnacentral:rRNA from 1 species
UACGUAGGGGGCUAGCGUUGUCCGGAAUCAUUGGGCGUAAAGCGCGCGUAGGCGGCCCGGUAAGUCCGCUGUAAAAGUCCAGGGCUCAACCCUGGAACGCCGGUGGAUACUGUCGGGCUAGAGUCCGGAAGAGGCGAGUGGAAUUCCUGGUGUAGUGGUGGAAUGCGCAGAUAUCAGGAGGAACACCGAUGGCGAAGGCAGCUCGCUGGGACGGUACUGACGCUGAGACGCGAAAGCGUGGGGAGCGAACAGG